rnacentral:pre_miRNA from 1 species
UGUGCAAGGGGGUGGAUCCCUCUGCCCGGAUUGCAAGAGGAUGCAGGCCAGGCCGAGGGACCCCACCAGUGCAUG